rnacentral:tRNA from 1 species
UUUAUGGUGCCUGACUAAAAGGAUAGCCUUGAUAGGGCUAAUUAUGUAAUUAUAAUUACCCAUAAAA